AUGACAUUAGGCGGUCAUAUUCUCUUGAACUGUUUCAUAAGAUGUUCGGGGAAAGAAAAGCGCCCUGAAUGUGGCUUACAGCACCAGCUCUGGGCUCCUGUGAGAUCAGCAGAUAUAUGGAAUACAUCACUCAUCCUGCGCACAGCUCUGUUUUUUUUACAGGACAUAAGAAAGAUGUUUGCAUCCCUCGCUUGGCUUUCUAAAUAGCUGCGCACCUUGGCGAACAUCCGAUGGUGCGCUUUUGCGCAAUUCUCUCCAAACUUUCCGACCAAGUGGAGGAUAUUUUGAUGCGAAGGAUAUAGCUGAUACGCACACGUACUCUCUGGAAAUGUUUUUUUAUGGACAUUCUCGCUAAGUAAACCCUUAAUGUUUGUCUUUUACGCUGGAAAGAGCUCUUAGGAUUUCUCCGUUGUUCACUUGGACAUGUUGCGCAGCGGCGCAACUGCGGGAUUGAAAUAACGCUGCUGUUGACGGAGUUUUCCGAACCUCGCCAACGGCACCGCAGCUUUGGGCAGGUGCUCCUUUCUGAGUGUGUUUGAAGACGGUGCCAUGCGGAAACUGGAAUCACAUAUCGAAGGGCUCUGAAAACCUGCUGGAAACGCGAUAUUUAUGCAGAGAUGGGUAUGUUUCCGAUGAUUUGUACUACUCGAAAUGAAUCUGUAGGUUGGUUUUCUGUGGUCUGUUGGCUCCUUGGAUACAGUUAGAAUACGAGGUGUAUCGAAACCAUAAGAUCGUUUCUUAAAAUAUCAUGUUGUGGGAUAGUGUGUUGCACGUAUCAAAUGAAUGAAGCAGCUUUGAGUCUGUACUCGAUAGCGUGCAACUUUCAUCACGCAUACCUACAGACAUAUUGAACGGAUUUAUUUAUUAAUUUAUUUAUUUAUUUAGCAGUUUAUUACAUUUUGCACGAGUGUCGUAUGAUCAACAGGCUUUCUUUCUAUCUGAUGUUUUGCUUCCCUGAUUGGAUUCUCUGGUGCUCGUAGAUUCUUCUAACUCGCAUCUGUUGGAGAGAAUCUGUGCUGCCUCAUCUGUGUAUUUGCUAAUUUCAUUUUAGGAGUUAUAGGCAUAUGCAUCGCAUUUUCAUAGUUCACUAUAGGACCCAAAUAACUAUGCAUUUUGUGAAGGACAUGUCAAACCUGAAGUUAUGCAUCCAGAAUGCUGUGUCAGUUCUUGCAUCCUUCAAGGAAAAACCCGACCAGAUUUUGAUUGAUGCUUCAGAGCAAAUGAUACUGUCAUAAUUGAAAGCUGUGAUUUACUGGAUGCCUUUAAAAUCAUUCUGUAAUUAUUGAGAGCACAGAUGGUUGUCCCCAUCAUAAAUAAUCAUAAUCAGAUCAGAAAUAACUCCCCACCCCCUUUCCUUUUCCAGUGAUCACCCUGUAUAAUGUAUGGAAAAGUCGUUCAUUCAAGUAUGACUUAAUGAAAUGGUGCUAGAAGUGUGUAAGAGUGAACAGAUGAAACGAAUGUGAUUAUUGUGUUCGGAAUAUGAGUAUUGUCAUCAUAAUGGCUGGGUGUCGUAUGGUCUUUGUGGCUGUUUACUGAGCAGAUGAUGUAGGUGGAUGUUCACUUCUGUGCCUCACAGGUGUGCUGUUUGCUCGACUCGCUCAGCUUCGACUCAUUCUGUGACAUUUCUAAUGCUGGCUGUUAAGAAUAAAGCUUCACAAAAUAAUAAAAGAUGUAAAUGUUUAGGUGAACCUUACAAUGAAAAGACCAGUUCAUAUGUCAAAAAACAGUUGUUGCAUAAAGAAAAUAUUUUGUAGAUCCUAUUUUCAUUAUCUUAAUGUGCAAAAAAAUAAUUAAAUAAAAAAACAAUAAAUACAAAUAAAAACAUUCUCAUUUCAGCAAUACAGUAAUGAAAAUAAUCCUGUGUGCACACAUUGAUUUUAUUUUUAAUAAUCAGCAUAAGUUAAAUUUUAUCC
rnacentral:lncRNA from 1 species